rnacentral:rRNA from 4 species
GAACUUUCCAGAGAUGGACUGGUGCCUUCGGGAACUGUGAGACAGGUGCUGCAUGGCUGUCGUCAGCUCGUGUUGUGAAAUGUUGGGUUAAGUCCCGCAACGAGCGCAACCCUUAUCCUUUGUUGCCAGCGGUCCGGCCGGGAACUCAAAGGAGACUGCCAGUGAUAAACUGGAGGAAGGUGGGGAUGACGUCAAGUCAUCAUGGCCCUUACGACCAGGGCUACACACGUGCUACAAUGGCGCAUACAAAGAGAAGCGACCUCGCGAGAGCAAGCGGACCUCAUAAAGUGCGUCGUAGUCCGGAUUGGAGUCUGCAACUCGACUCCAUGAAGUCGGAAUCGCUAGUAAUCGUGGAUCAGAAUGCCACGGUGAAUACGUUCCCGGGCCUUGUACACACCGCCCGUCACACCAUGGGAGUGGGUUGCAAAAGAAGUAGGUAGCUUAACCUUCGGGAGGGCGCUUACCACUUUGUGAUUCAUGACUGGGGUGAAGUCGUAACAAGGUAACCGUAGGGGAACCUGC